GGUUAAGCGACUAAGCGUACACGGUGGAUGCCCUGGCAGUCAGAGGCGAUGAAGGACGUGCUAAUCUGCGAAAAGCGUCGGUAAGGUGAUAUGAACCGUUAUAGCCGGCGAUGUCCGAAUGGGGAAACCCAGUGUGAUUCGUCACACUAUCGUUAACUGAAUACAUAGGUUAACGAGGCGAACCGGGGGAACUGAAACAUCUAAGUACCCCGAGGAAAAGAAAUCAACCGAGAUUCCCCCAGUAGCGGCGAGCGAACGGGGAGCAGCCCAGAGUCUGAAUCAGCUUGUGUGUUAGUGGAACGGUCUGGAAAGUCCGACGGUACAGGGUGAUAGUCCCGUACACCAAAAUGCACAGGUUGUGAACUCGAAGAGUAGGGCGGGACACGUGGUAUCCUGUCUGAAUAUGGGGGGACCAUCCUCCAAGGCUAAAUACUCCUGACUGACCGAUAGUGAACCAGUACCGUGAGGGAAAGGCGAAAAGAACCCCGGCGAGGGGAGUGAAAAAGAACCUGAAACCGUGUACGUACAAGCAGUGGGAGCACCUUCGGGUGUGACUGCGUACCUUUUGUAUAAUGGGUCAGCGACUUAUAUUCUGUAGCAAGGUUAACCGUAUAGGGGAGCCGCAGGGAAACCGAGUCUUAACUGGGCGUUAAGUUGCAGGGUAUAGACCCGAAACCCGGUGAUCUAGCCAUGGGCAGGUUGAAGGUUGGGUAACACUAACUGGAGGACCGAACCGACUAAUGUUGAAAAAUUAGCGGAUGACUUGUGGCUGGGGGUGAAAGGCCAAUCAAACCGGGAGAUAGCUGGUUCUCCCCGAAAGCUAUUUAGGUAGCGCCUCGUGAACUCAUCUUCGGGGGUAGAGCACUGUUUCGGCUAGGGGGUCAUCCCGACUUACCAACCCGAUGCAAACUACGAAUACCGAAGAAUGUUAUCACGGGAGACACACGGCGGGUGCUAACGUCCGUCGUGAAGAGGGAAACAACCCAGACCGCCAGCUAAGGUCCCAAAGUCAUGGUUAAGUGGGAAACGAUGUGGGAAGGCACAGACAGCCAGGAUGUUGGCUUAGAAGCAGCCAUCAUUUAAAGAAAGCGUAAUAGCUCACUGGUCGAGUCGGCCUGCGCGGAAGAUGUAACGGGGCUAAACCAUGCACCGAAGCUGCGGCAGCGACACUAUGUGUUGUUGGGUAGGGGAGCGUUCUGUAAGCCUGCGAAGGUGACCUGUGAGGGUUGCUGGAGGUAUCAGAAGUGCGAAUGCUGACAUAAGUAACGAUAAAGCGGGUGAAAAGCCCGCUCGCCGGAAGACCAAGGGUUCCUGUCCAACGUUAAUCGGGGCAGGGUGAGUCGACCCCUAAGGCGAGGCCGAAAGGCGUAGUCGAUGGGAAACAGGUUAAUAUUCCUGUACUUGGUGUUACUGCGAAGGGGGGACGGAGAAGGCUAUGUUAGCCGGGCGACGGUUGUCCCGGUUUAAGCAUGUAGGCUGAUUGUCCAGGCAAAUCCGGAUAAUCAAGGCUGAGGUGUGAUGACGAGGCACUACGGUGCUGAAGUAACAAAUGCCCUGCUUCCAGGAAAAGCCUCUAAGCAUCAGGUAACAUCAAAUCGUACCCCAAACCGACACAGGUGGUCAGGUAGAGAAUACCAAGGCGCUUGAGAGAACUCGGGUGAAGGAACUAGGCAAAAUGGUGCCGUAACUUCGGGAGAAGGCACGCUGGUGUGUAGGUGAAGUCCCUGCGGAUGGAGCUGAGACCAGUCGAAGAUACCAGCUGGCUGCAACUGUUUAUUAAAAACACAGCACUGUGCAAACACGAAAGUGGACGUAUACGGUGUGACGCCUGCCCGGUGCCGGAAGGUUAAUUGAUGGGGUUAUCCGUAAGGAGAAGCUCUUGAUCGAAGCCCCGGUAAACGGCGGCCGUAACUAUAACGGUCCUAAGGUAGCGAAAUUCCUUGUCGGGUAAGUUCCGACCUGCACGAAUGGCGUAAUGAUGGCCAGGCUGUCUCCACCCGAGACUCAGUGAAAUUGAACUCGCUGUGAAGAUGCAGUGUACCCGCGGCAAGACGGAAAGACCCCGUGAACCUUUACUAUAGCUUGACACUGAACAUUGAGCCUUGAUGUGUAGGAUAGGUGGGAGGCUUUGAAGCGUGGACGCCAGUCUGCGUGGAGCCAACCUUGAAAUACCACCCUUUAAUGUUUGAUGUUCUAACGUUGGCCCCUUACCGGGGUUGCGGACAGUGUCUGGUGGGUAGUUUGACUGGGGCGGUCUCCUCCCAAAGCGUAACGGAGGAGCACGAAGGUUAGCUAAUCCUGGUCGGACAUCAGGAGGUUAGUGCAAUGGCAUAAGCUAGCUUGACUGCGAGCGUGACGGCGCGAGCAGGUGCGAAAGCAGGUCAUAGUGAUCCGGUGGUUCUGAAUGGAAGGGCCAUCGCUCAACGGAUAAAAGGUACUCCGGGGAUAACAGGCUGAUACCGCCCAAGAGUUCAUAUCGACGGCGGUGUUUGGCACCUCGAUGUCGGCUCAUCACAUCCUGGGGCUGAAGUAGGUCCCAAGGGUAUGGCUGUUCGCCAUUUAAAGUGGUACGCGAGCUGGGUUUAGAACGUCGUGAGACAGUUCGGUCCCUAUCUGCCGUGGGCGCUGGAGAAUUGAGGGGGGCUGCUCCUAGUACGAGAGGACCGGAGUGGACGCAUCACUGGUGUUCGGGUUGUCAUGCCAAUGGCACUGCCCGGUAGCUAAAUGCGGAAGAGAUAAGUGCUGAAAGCAUCUAAGCACGAAACUUGCCCCGAGAUGAGUUCUCCCUGAGACUUUAAGUCUCCUGAAGGAACGUUAAAGACGAUGACGUUGAUAGGCCGGGUGUGUAAGCGCAGCGAUGCGUUGAGCUAACCGGUACUAAUGAACCGUGAGGCUUAACCUUACAACGCCGAAGAUGUUUUG
rnacentral:rRNA from 1 species